UACGGGGGGUGCGAACGUUGUUCGGAAUCACUGGGCGUAAAGGGCGCGUAGGCGGCCUUGUAAGUGGGGUGUGAAAUCCCUCGGCUCAACCGAGGAACUGCGCUUGAAACUACCAGACUCGAGGGAGAUAGAGGAAAGCGGAACUGAUGGUGGAGCGGUGAAAUGCGUAGAGAUCGGGAGGAACACCAGUGGCGAAGGCGGCCUUCUGGACCAAUACUGACGCUCAUGCACGAAAGCGUGGGGAGCAAACAGG
rnacentral:rRNA from 1 species